GUGACGCUGUGCCAGAGGCCGCUGGAAAACAGAGAGCCCGAGCGGUGUUGGGAGUCACGGGUCGUAAAUGGUGCGCAUGUGGGUGGGCAAGUUUGAUGUGAAAGCCCCGGGCGUAACCCGUGAAUGGCAUUGAAUACUGCUUGAACUGGAGGGUUGGAGGAGGGACUGGAAUUCUUGGUGUAGCAGUGAAAUGCGUAGAUAUCAAGAGGAACACCAGUGGCGAAGGCGAGUGCCUGGACAAACCCUGACACUGAGGCACGAAAGCCAAGGGAGCAAACAGGAUUAGAUACCCGGGUAGUC
rnacentral:rRNA from 1 species